ACGAACGCUGGCGGCACGCUUAACACAUGCAAGUCGAACGAGAGAAGAGAAGCUUGCUUUUCUGAUCUAGUGGCGGACGGGUGAGUAACACGUGAGCAAUCUGCCUUUCAGAGGGGGAUACCGAUUGGAAACGAUCGUUAAUACCGCAUAAUAUAAUUGAACCGCAUGAUUUGAUUAUCAAAGAUUUAUCGCUGAAAGAUGAGCUCGCGUCUGAUUAGCUAGUUGGUAAGGUAACGGCUUACCAAGGCGACGAUCAGUAGCCGGACUGAGAGGUUGAUCGGCCACAUUGGGACUGAGACACGGCCCAGACUCCUACGGGAGGCAGCAGUGGGGAAUAUUGCACAAUGGAGGAAACUCUGAUGCAGCGAUGCCGCGUGAGGGAAGAAGGUUUUAGGAUUGUAAACCUCUGUCUUCAGGGACGAAAAAUGACGGUACCUGAGGAGGAAGCUCCGGCUAACUACGUGCCAGCAGCCGCGGUAAUACGUAGGGAGCGAGCGUUGUCCGGAAUUACUGGGUGUAAAGGGAGCGUAGGCGGGAUCGCAAGUCAGAUGUGAAAACUAUGGGCUUAACCCAUAAACUGCAUUUGAAACUGUGGUUCUUGAGUGAAGUAGAGGUAAGCGGAAUUCCUAGUGUAGCGGUGAAAUGCGUAGAUAUUAGGAGGAACAUCAGUGGCGAAGGCGGCUUACUGGGCUUUAACUGACGCUGAGGCUCGAAAGCGUGGGGAGCAAACAGGAUUAGAUACCCUGGUAGUCCACGCCGUAAACGAUGAUUACUAGGUGUGGGGGGACUGACCCCUUCCGUGCCGCAGCAAACGCAAUAAGUAAUCCACCUGGGGAGUACGACCGCAAGGUUGAAACUCAAAGGAAUUGACGGGGGCCCGCACAAGCAGUGGAGUAUGUGGAUUAAUUCGAAGCAACGCGAAGAACCUUACCAGGUCUUGACAUCGUAUGCAUAGCUCAGAGAUGAGUGAAAUCUCUUCGGAGACAUAUAGACAGGUGGUGCAUGGUUGUCGUCAGCUCGUGUCGUGAGAUGUUGGGUUAAGUCCCGCGACGAGCGCAACCCUUACUGUUAGUUGCUACGCAAGAGCACUCUAGCAGGACUGCCGUUGACAAAACGGAGGAAGGUGGGGAUGACGUCAAAUCAUCAUGCCCCUUAUGACCUGGGCCUCACACGUACUACAAUGGCUGUCAACAGAGGGAAGCAAAGCCGCGAGGUGGAGCAAACCCCUAAAAGCAGUCUUAGUUCGGAUUGUAGGCUGCAACCCGCCUACAUGAAGUCGGAAUUGCUAGUAAUCGCAGAUCAGCAUGCUGCGGUGAAUACGUUCCCGGGCCUUGUACACACCGCCCGUCACGCCAUGGGAGUCGGUAACACCCGAAGCCUGUAGUCUAACCGCAAGGAGGACGCAGUCGAAGGUGGGAUUGAUGACUGGGGUG
rnacentral:rRNA from 1 species